rnacentral:rRNA from 1 species
GAUGAACGCUGGCGGCGUGCCUAAUACAUGCAAGUCGAGCGAACGGACGCGAAGCUUGCUUCUCUGAUGUUAGCGGCGGACGGGUGAGUAACACGUGGAUAACCUACCUAUAAGACUGGGAUAACUUCGGGAAACCGGAGCUAAUACCGGAUAAUCUUUUGAACCGCAUGGUUCAAAAGUGAAAGACGGUCUUGCUGUCACUUAUAGAUGGAUCCGCGCUGCAUUAGCUAGUUGGUAAGGUAACGGCUUACCAAGGCAACGAUGCAUAGCCGACCUGAGAGGGGGAUCGGCCACACUGGAACUGAGACACGGUCCAGAGUCCUACGGGAGGCAGCAGUAGGGAAUCGUCCGCAAAGGGCGAAAGCCUGACGGAGCAACGCCGCGUGAGUGAUGAAGGUCUUCGGAUCGUAAAACUCUGCUAUUAGGGAGGAACAUAUGUGUAAGUAACUGUGCACAUCGUGACGGUACCUAAUCAGAAAGCCACGGCUAACUACGUG